CCUACGGGUGGCAGCAGUAGGGAAUUUUCGUCAAUGGGCGCAAGCCUUAACGAGCGAUGCCGCGGUAGUGAAGAAGGCCUUCGGGUCGUAAAGCUCUGUUGCGGGGGAAAAAAGGCAUCUGAAGGAACUGGUAGAUGACAGAUGGUGCCCCGCCAGAAAGUCACGGCUAACUACGUGCCAGCAGCCGCGGUAAUACGGAGGUGGCGAGCGUUAUCCGGAAGGAUUGGGAGUAAAGGGUGCGCAGGCGGUCCUGCAAGUCUGGAGUGAAACGUAUGAGCUCAACUCAUGCAUGGCUCUGGAAACUGGAGGACUGGAGAGCAGGAGAGGGCGGUGGAACUCCAUGUGUAGCGGUAAAAUGCGUAGAUAUAUGGAAGAACACCAGUGGCGAAGGCGGCCGCCUGGCCUGUUGCUGACGCUGAGGCACGAAAGCGUGGGGAGCAAAUAGGAGUAGAUACCCUAGUAGUC
rnacentral:rRNA from 1 species